UGGUACCGUCAAACUAUAGGGUAUUAACCUAUAAUCACUUCUUCCCACCUGACAGAGCUUUACGACCCGAAGACCUUCUUCACUCACGCGGCGUCACUGCGUCAGGGUUGCCCCCAUUGCGCAAUAUUCCUCA
rnacentral:rRNA from 1 species